GUAAUAAAAUUAUGUAAAUUCUUCUUAUUUUGUAUGUCUCUCUAUCUAAUAAAAAAGUUCCGAACAAAUGAACAGGUAAGAAAGAUUAUAAUCAAAAUAGUA